UUCUCACUCUGGUACCUAGGGUGCUUUUCAGUCUAUAAUAAUGAGCCAAUCGGAGGAAAGCAAAACUCACUGAUGGUCUUUUGGAAUCCACAGAAAAGGCAGUUAUUUUUGGAAGAUUCUCCACUACAGUAUGUCAAGAAAACAGACUUCUUUAGUUGCUGGAGGCGAUCUGGAGGAAAUUCAUCACUGUGAAAAUCAAUGAAGCCCAGAAGAGAUUAUAAAGCUCAUUAUUAUCAUGAGUGAGCUGGAUGCAUCAAGCAAAGUGGGCCACACACUGCAUUGCAGUCAACAGCAAAGAGGACAGGAGCUACUACCUGAUAAUCGGAGUGCCUCCAUACACUACACAAUGUAAAAAGAUCAUCUCUAUUCAAAGCCUGAAGUUGGCUGGUUGAUAGUCCACUGUGGUCUUCAGAUGACCAAAUGUUGCAGCCUUCAAAAUCUGAGUCAAUUCCAGCCCAGUAUCAUUGGGCAGAAUAAUAGUUUUAUG